AUACGUAGGGGACGAGCGUUGUCCGGAAUUACUGGGCGUAAAGGGCGCGCAGGCGGAUAUUUAAGUCAGCUGUAAAAGGCAUGAGCUCAACUCAUGUAUGCGGUUGAAACUGGGUAUCUAGAGUGCUGGAGAGGUAGGCGGAAUUCCCGGUGUAGCGGUGAAAUGCGUAGAUAUCGGGAAGAACAGCAGUGGCGAAGGCAGCUUACUGGCCAGCAACUGACGCUGAGGCGCGAAUGACAGGGGUACGAACGGGAUUAGAUACCCCGGUAGUCCUGGCAGUAAACGAUGUAUUCUGGGUGUGAGACUAGCUAUAGUUUCGUGCCGAAGUUAACGCGAUAAGCAUACCGCCUGGGGAGUACGUUCGCAAGAUUGAAACUCAAAGGAAUUGACGGGG
rnacentral:rRNA from 1 species